CCUGCCCCUAGAAGGCAGGUGUGGCUACUGUGCCACAUGUGUGACAGUAGGUGGCAGAGAGGAGAGAGGCUAUGUCUAAGCUCAGUGUUCUGACCUUUGAACAUCUGAAUGAUUGUAGCCUAAUAUU